rnacentral:rRNA from 1 species
GACGAACGCUGGCGGCGUGCUUAACACAUGCAAGUCGAACGGAAAGGCCCUGCUUUUGUGGGGUGCUCGAGUGGCGAACGGGUGAGUAACACGUGAGUAACCUGCCCUUGACUUUGGGAUAACUUCAGGAAACUGGGGCUAAUACCGGAUAGGAGCUCCUGCUGCAGGGUGGGGGUUGGAAAGUUUCGGCGGUUGGGGAUGGACUCGCGGCUUACCAGCUUGUUGGUGGGGUAGUGGCUUACCAAGGCUUUGACGGGUAGCCCGCCUGAGAGGGUGACCGGCCACAUUGGGACUGAGAUACGGCCCAGACUCCUACGGGAGGCAGCAGUGGGGAAUAUUGCACAAUGGGCGGAAGCCUGAUGCAGCAACGCCGCGUGCGGGAUGACGGCCUUCGGGUUGUAAACCGCUUUCGCCUGUGACGAAGCGUGAGUGACGGUAAUGGGUAAAGAAGCACCGGCUAACUACGUG